CCGAUCUUGAAAUAUGAUGUUUUAAAGAACUCGUGAACACGAUAAUCGGCUGUCAAAACGAAGUAGAUAACCAAUCAUGCCUAUGCUUUAAAGAAAGGAAAAAAGAUAAGGCAGGAAAAAUUUAAGCAGCAAUCUCAAAACAUUUAUCAAAUGUCAGAAUUAAAAAUUGACCACGAAACCAAAAGAAUCUGGUGAUUUAACGCAAAGAUGGAUACAUUUGUAGUACCUUCAUCACGUGAACAGUUCCAUAUCUGUAACAGAAAAAAAAUUGAUGCAUUAGGAUAUGUUCACGGAAAUGUAAGUAUUCUCCCAAGAAAGCAUAUCAUAGGAAAGGGUAACAGAAAAUGUAAAAAUAUAUCCGUGAAGCCUGCUACCAAAGAGAAUUGGCACCUUAAACUACAGACUAAAGAACUCAGAUUUCUGGAGUAACAACUCAACUCAACUCAACUCAAUCAAACAGAGCGAGGAAUGGAUGUGAAAAGGUUGAACCUCCUAUAACGGAUGCGAAUUUAGACGAGCAGCGGCGGCGGCGGCUGGGAGAUAAUUGUCAAGAUGCAUUCAGAAUAGAAACUGUUAAUCCUGAUCUAAUGAGUGCGGAACCCGAAGGGGCAACUCAUGUGUGGCCUGGGUUAGUGAAUUUAGUCGAGCAGCAGCGGCAGUGGCUGGGAGAUAUUUGUCAAGUUAUAUUCUAUUUCUGUGAAAGCGUAUGCAUUAAAAGCUGCGGGGUGCACCUCCUAGCCUCACAUAUCGUGAAUGAUGAAUGUGAUGAUCUGUUAAAAUGGUUUUCCUUAGAUAUCGUUGAUGAUGAAUAUGAUGAGUAACAACAUCGGCUUUCCUUAUCUUCGGAGCCAGCGGAUUAUCAUUCAAAACACAGGCAGAUUGAUCUCAAUGUUCCUAUUGGUAUUGAGAAGGAGGAGGAGGAGGAGCAAGAGUAACCGUCCAUUUCAGAUGAUCCACAAUUUCUGAUUUAUUAGUAGUUCGGGUACGCAUUCGUUUGUUCAUUUCCAUUUUCCUAAUCUUUAAAAUAAGGCGCCGUCGGAUUACAAUUUCAGUUUACAGUUUCCAUUUAUUUGAAAACUGAAAACUGAGAACUCAUUUGGCAACUACUCCUUGUUCUACCGUCUUGCAUUUGCCCUUCUGUUUUCUUGAUAUGUAGACGUUUUUCUUCUUCAUAACUUCUUGUCCUACUGUCAAACGUAUGCAUUUUUGCACCUAUAGUAAAUCAAUGCAGUAAAUUGUCUAAUUUGAACCAUCUGCAUAUAUAAUCUGGCUAGUUGUUGCUUUUACACUAAUCUGGGUUAUAAAAAGCACUCUCUAUCUAAGAGAACGAAGAUGGCCUCCCCAACUCGAUAUAUUAUGUCCGGAGGAUACCUUUACCUAUUGUGUUACAUAUAAAUUUAUAUCUACACAUUCUACUUUUAAGUUCGCACAAUUUAUAUGUCUUUAUCUUUAGCGGUCCUAAACAGACCACCCUAACUACAACAAAAACUUAGUGGCAGCAAAUUGAUGACAUUAAUGUUACUGUCACUAAAAAUAAAUAAAUGCUUUUAGUCACGACAAGGUUGAGACUAAAAGUAUAAAAUAUUGUAACUGAAAAAUUUAAUCAUGAAAAAGUUAUGUAUCUCAGUAAUAGGGUUGUGACCGCACACCCCGUGAGUAAUUGAUUUAGUCCAAAAAUAAAAAACAAAUAGGUAGACCUAAAAUUUAUUAGUCACGAAAAUUAAACCAAUUCCUACAUUUUAGGUACAAACAUUGCAAUCAUUUGUGUCAGCCAUUAUUAAUGACUAAUAGACAUUUAGUCACAACUACUUUUCGCAACAAAAAAAAUCUUAGUAACAACGGUCUUCCAUAACUUUUUUUUUUUUUUUUUUUUUUUUUUCGAGGUUGAUUUGGACCCUUCUGAUUUAUGAUAAAACUGCUGCACACAUACAGCUGAAAGGGUUCGAAAAGAGGAGAGACAAAAUGCGUAAAAGUCGAAAACAAAAUAAUCUCAAGGACUUGGAGAGAAUUUGAAAACCUCGACGACAGUUCAAUGACUAUGAUAUAGGCUGGCUGUCGGGAACGAAUUCAACGCGCUCGCUGUCCUCUUCCAGUUGUGACUGAGACGCCGUAAGUUUCGCCUUCUUGAAUGUGCUUGAACUUUUAGCCAAUUCAUCCCAAUUCAUGUCCUUCAUGCCGGAAGUGCAUGAUUUUAUGACGCUUCUCCCACCAGCCCUUCCGCCUCUUGGCGUGCUCAUAUCUGCAUUGCUUUCCCCAUCUGAGUAGCCAGAUGACGAAUAAUCUGAUGGAGUUUGGGUGCUGGCUUUUGAAAGUUCUUUAUCUUCAUCUUCAGAACUCCCACUACUCUAUUAUCAACAGCUAGCGACUCUAACGAAAGUCUAAUAAUCACAACAAAUCAAGACUAAUAUCUUCCAUUCUAUCACUUGCACUUUCUUUUCUUGCCUAAUAUCUAAAAAUAUCAUCAACAAAAAAUAGAAAUACCAUCAAGCUAAUCAAAUCAAUUAAAAGUUGUUUCUACAAGAUAAAAUCGUCUACAAAUCAAAUGCUGAAAUCAGUAGAAAUCCACACCUAGGAACUUCCAAUUCAGUCCUCAAUGCCAGCAAUGGAGAAAAGCAUGUACCUCAAGAAUAGUACCAUAACUAACAUAAGUUAAACCAGACAAGUUGAAUCAGAGAAACUAUAUAACUGACCCAGUCAAAGGCUCUUCUUAUUGCAUCAAUGAAUUAUUAUUUUUAGAUUCAACAAUUCAACAUUAUCUCCAAAUCCACACCUUUCCAUCGCCCAACUUAUCGAGCUCCAACACAAGUUAUUUACUUUGUAAAGUAUUUCAUAUUUCUUUCCCUUUUUUCACUCACCUUGAUCCACCUUCAUACUCUAUGAGUUUGACCAUAGUGCUGAAGCGACGCCUAUACGACUCACAACUCUUCUAUUUGAACUAACUUAAGAAAAAUGUUACCAUGAGAAUCAAAAGAGAACAUCUGUGCUAGUAGUUUAGUUGUAAUUUUGAACUGACAUCUAAUAGGAGUCAUUGCCUCCUCAUCAGUAUGUUGAUAAAUGAGAACAAAAAAAUGAGUAAGUUUAUACAUUGAAGGGCUAACAUUCUAGAAAUCAGAAAAACAUGGAAACCACAACAGUCGAGCAUCCAAAAGAAAGGCAGUUUAAAUAUGAUGUGUUCCUUUUUAGUUAAAUCCAGGCCUUUUUCAGAUGAAAUGCAUUCUCUUUGUGGUUGCACAAGGCUGGAGAGUUUCCCUGAAAUAGAGGACAAGAUGGAAUCCCUACUUUUAUUGGACAUACAAAAAACGUGGCAUAAGAGAAUUACCUUCAUCAAUUGCUUAUCUUACUAGGCUUAAAAACUUGGAUGCAGAUGAUUGUGAGAACCUUACAAAUAUAUAUAUAUAUAUAUAUAUAUAUAUAUAUAUAUAUAUAUAUAUAUAUAUAUAUAUAUAUAUAUAUAUAUGUGUGGGCCCCCCAAAACUGAGCACAAUUGAUUUGGAUAUUUUAGAUGACAAGUGUAUCACAUUCUUCUUGAAAGAGUUUAAACUAGGGUUUUAGAGACUGACUGCAUAAGCUCAACUCAAUUAACUAUGAGUGAGUUUUGUACUUUAUUAUAUAGGCUUUACAAGAUUACAAUGAAUCUGUUAUAGAGAUUACAAUGGAAUUCAAAUUACAGAAAUACAUAUCAGAAAGCCAAGAUACACGGUGAUGAUAGAGUCAUGUGGAAGGAGAACUGUGAUUCUUCUCAAUCUGUUGAAGACGUGCGUUAUCCAAACUCUGUUGUGGAGUAGUUGAACGGGAACCAUAUAAUGCGGACUGUGUUUGCUGAGUUGACAAGGAUUGCUGACGUGGAGAGCAUGUAGAAUCGUUAGGUUUAUCACUUUCUUCCCAAUCUACACUAUCUUGAUCUUGACGGUUGCAGUUUAUUAGAAAGCUGUGAUUUCCUUGUGCCUCUAGAUUGUUGGUCCACAUUAACAAGAUGAUCUGUCAAGAAACAAUUUUGUUAGUCUUCCGGAUUGCAUUAGUAAAUUUGUCAACUUGAAGCAACUUAGAUUGAUUAGUUGCAAGAGGCUUCGGGAAAUUCCACAAGUGCUUCCACCAAAACUAAUUCACUUAGAUCUACAUGAUUGCACAUCAUUGGAGAAAAUUCAAAACUGCCCCCGAUGCUCGAGUGUCUGGACUUGACUAAUUACUUUAGACUAAGUGGCAAUGAGGUGAAAAAGAUGGAAAACAAUUUGUUGAAUCAGGUUCCUAACUCUCUUCUUAAUUUCUCUUGAAAUUAAUUUGUUGAUACUUGAGGCAUCAGAUCACAGACUGUUAGUAAUUAGUUAUCUAAACAUUAUUUAAUUUUGUAGGAAUCUCUUUGGCGCUCUGGAAAUUAUUCUUCCAGGCUUCCGAAGUGAUUCAGCUAUACCUCUAAACAUCCGACAACAUUUGAACUUCCAUCAGAAAAUGAAAGUGAAGAAGCUGUUAGAGGCAGUGAAUUUUGUUUUGAAAUUCCUCUAAACUUACAAGAUGAGACCUCCGGAUUGGCUCUAUGUAUUGCUGUUGAAGCACCGACUCCUUAUGAUCCAUAUGUUCUCAUCAACGGGGAAAAAGACUUUUAUCCUAAUUUGAAGUACAACAUUGAGGCAACUCAUGUGUGGUUCAAGCAGUGGCGGAUCCAGGAAAUAAUGUUUGGGGGGUCAACAAGGAUAGCGCGCGCAGCGCGAAAUUUUUUUUUAACAAAAACGGCAUGCAUAUCGUCAUUUCAUCGGGUCUUGGUAGGAUAGCGUGAUCAGCCUCUCGCCGAUAGUUACCAUACUAAAAGGUGCCUUCACUUUCCCUGACAACCAAAAAUAAACAUAAAAUUGGGUUGGAUGGUUCAUAAUAAACAUAAAAUUCUGAUGUCAAUAUGGUGGUUCAUAAUAAUAUUUUUUAGAGAUCAUAUUAAUUUAUGUUAAAUAUAAAGAGAAAUAAAGUUGUUAAAUAUGUGGAUGUGGAAAGGGCACACACAUCAUUACCAUUAAUUUAUGUCAAAUAUGUGGAUGUGGACACAUGGGAACUUUGCAAUCUGCACCAAGACUUAAUGGUGACAUCUUCAACUUGACACACGAACCGAACUGACAGUCUAUGGCUUUUUACACAAAGCAAGCAAUUUGAUGCUAGCUGUACAAAUUUGAUUGGAGAGAAACUAAGAAAAAAUAAAUAAAUAAGAAGAGUGUGUGGUCACGUGGUGUGAAAGGAAGAGAGAGAACGUCUUUGUCUUCGUCUUCCUCUUCCGCCAAAACGAACGAAAACUAGAAGAAACCCAGAAAAAUGCAGCAGCUCCAAGAGGUCGCACCAGCAGCUUUAAGGGGUCGCACCAACAGCUCCAAGGGACCUCUAAGGUUAUUUCCAUGGCUUCCAAGGGGUCGUGCGACCCCAUUGACCCCACUGUGGCUCCGCCUCUGGGUUCAAGUUAGUGGAUUUAGACGAGCAGCAGAGAGAUACAUGUCAAGUUAUAUUUCAAUUCCUGGAAGGCUCAUACAUUAAAAGUUGCAGGGUGCAGUCUAUUGCUCAACCAAGACGAAUUGCUUCCCUUGUCUUUAGGAUCAACGAGUAGUCUUGAGAAGAGGCCUCGUCCAAGUGGACCCCCAUAUUAUGAGUAUGAUCAGCUGCAGCAAUGACCUUCCUUGUCUUCGGAGCUAGCGGAUGAUUAUACAUAGCGGAGUCAUAUUUAUCUCAAUGUUCAUGUUGAGAUUGAGGAUCAGGGCCGGCCCUGAGGGUAGCCCGAGUAGAUGCUCGUCUAGGGUCCCCAAAUUUUAUCUUUUUAUUUUUUAUAUAUAGGGAAAUGUUAUUGACAUUUCAAAAAUUUCAUCCUACAUUCUUUACAAGUGUAUUUUUCUUUUCAAAUAUAGAAAGUUUGAAAUGUAGAAUGAGAAUUUUGGAGUGUCAAUCAUAAUUUUCUAUAUAUAUUUAUAUAUUUAAUUUUGGAAUUUGAGUAAAACAUCUAAAUAUGAAAUUAUAAAUAUUUUUUUGGAACUUGCCGUGCAGCGUUUUGGGUGGGGGGCCCCAAAUUUAAAAAAAAUGUAUGUAUAUAUAUAAAUAUAUUUUUAGAGUUUGAAUUUAAUAAAAUAUUUAAAUAUAAAAUCACAUAAUUGUCUUCAAACUUGAGGUACAAAGUGUCUUGGGUGGGGUGAAACUUCAGCAACAAUUCAACUUUUUUUUUUUGUUGAGAAUUUAAGGCACAGCAUACUGGUAGCAAGUCUGCGCCUGUGAAUCGGUUCUUUCCCACUCCACUUAUAGAGGUUAAGUACCCGAUCAAUGCUUCUCUUCUCUUCCGCUUCUUUUUCUAUAAUUUAAUUUGUGACUUGUGAGUGUUGUGCUUGUACAUAUAAUUAGGAUUUUCAAUUCUAGGGUUUAUGAUUUAUUUAUUUUAAUGCAUAUUGUUUAUGCUAAAUUAGAGUAUUCACUUGUCAAGUGUCUAUAUUGUAGUUAUAAAGUGGAUGUACUUAAUAAAGUGAUUAAAUCCCUUCAAGAAGAUAAAUGGAUUAUGGGUGCACUUAACAAGGUUUGUUACUUUUGCUUCCUAACUAGUUUUGGUUCAAGAUAAUUCAAAGUUUCGAUGUUGAAUUUUGUUAACCAUACCAGUUACAGUUGCCUUUGCAAAAAGAAGUUUCUCAUAAUUAAAGUUGAUCAAAUCGUAUCUUCGAUCAACUAUGUCAUAAGAAAGAUUGAAUGGGUUAGCUAUUUUGUCAAUUGAAAAAGAAUUGGAUGAAAAGUUAGAUUAUGUAAACUUAAUUAAUACAUUUGGGUCUAAAAAAGCGAGACGUGUAAUGUUGAAGUAAUGUUUGCAUAUUUUUCUUCUUUAGAUAUGAAUUAUAAUGAUUUUUGAUGUCGAAAUGAAUAUUUUCAUGUAUUUAGCGAAAUUUUUUCUUAUACAUAUAAAUGUACAAUGAGUUGGGUGUCAAAGAACUUUAGGACCCUCACUCGAAGGCUGGCCUAGGGCCCCCAAUUUCUCAGGGCCGGUUCUGUUGAGGAUGAGCAGGAGGGUGGUUCGGUAUGGGAUCCCAUACCGAAACCCUUGUCCCGAUUCCCAAACCGAAAUUUUCGGGAAUCCCAAUUUCAAUACCGAUCCCAAACCAAAUUUUCGGGAAUCCCAAAAUAGUUUCGGGAUUUCGGGACAAAUCGGGAAUCCCGAAAUAGUUUUGAGCUUUUGGGCUUUUGGACAAAAAAAAUGUACCCCAUAUUUUAAUUUUCUCCAGUUACCUUCCUCGGCACCCAAAAACCCAGUUUUAAACCGGAAGUAAGAAACAUAUGGGAGAUCAGUGUAAAUUGCACGAAGCUGCACUCCCCAAGACCCACCAUUGAUAAAUAGCUAGAGGAAAAAUCUUAACUACAACCCAAUUAGACACGAAGCUGCAAUUUGGAUUGUAAAUUGCACGAAUACCUUCAGCCCACCCAUAGUUAUCAUUGAACAAAGCAUUUACGCUAGAGCGAUUAGCUAAAUUGCAAAACUGAACUAAGGGAAAUAACAUCAAUUAUCUAUUCUCCAAUUAAUAGAUCAUUGGAUGAUCCACAAUUAAAACAAUGUAGAUUCAGAGGAAGAAAACAAAAAAGAUUAAAUAUUAUCUAAGAGGAACAAACACACAUUAUCUAAGAGGAACAAUAUAUUAUUAAUGAUUUACUAUUAUCUUAACGACACUUAUUGUGUGUACUUAUACCUUAUAUGCUAUUUUACUUUUCCCCGAACAGAGCAGUUGUUCCUAACAGUAAUAACUAUAAAGACGAAUGGUAACAAUAACAACAAUAGUAUUUUCAAGAAAACAGAAGAUGUGCAUCCAACAAUCCCGAAUGGUAAAAGCAAACCAUGACUCUUAAGUGUGCCUCUGUAACAAUAGAAAAUGAGAUUUCGGAGGAAACAUGGUAGCCUAAAUAGUACCUCCUUACGCCUAGCCUCAAUCAGAGCUGCUUCAUUUUCUUUCUCAGGUUACGAAAACAGAGCUGCUAAACAAUACAUACCAAAAAUUAAAUCUUAAAACCAUUUGAAAACUUCAAAGCAGAAUCUACCAACAGAAAUUAGAUUUCAAAACACUAAAUUAAUUACCUAAUUUGGGGUGAGAGUGAGACUCGGACUCGGUGUUGUGGUGAGAGAGAUCGCGAGAGAAAGUCGCCCGAGAGAGAGAUUGUGAGAGAGAGCGGUGGCUGUGUGGUGUGGUGGUGGGCCGGUGGUUGGCCGGAAUUCGACAUUGACAAAUGAGGGCUCGGUGAGGGAGGAGGCGCAUGGGCUUGGAGUUUGAUGGAUGGAAUCAGGGAAAUGGAACGGAACUGUGAAAGAAAGAAAUGGGAUCUGACCUAAAACAAAUCAACGGCACGGAUUAAAUCUAAAACAAUGAAUGGUUCAAAUAAUUUUCUUAUAAUUAAAAAAUAAUAUAUAUAUAUAUUUUUUUUUUCGGUUCGGUAUGGGAAUACCAAAAAAAUGAAAUGCAAAACCGAAUCCCAUACCGAAAUUUUCGGUUUGGUUUGGAAUUUUUGGGAUUUUUUUCCAGCCCUAAGCAGGAGCAACCGUCCACUUCAAAAUCUCAGAGUGUUGGUGCAAUCCCAUUGUGUGAAUAGUGGAUUAAUUUUAUAAAUGUGGGGGAUAAGGCUGGAGCUCCAUCAUGUUUAUCUGUUUUUGAACUUAGAGUGACUGUGAUUUUGUGGUUUCUCUUUCAAUCUCAUGGGGAGACAUGUGCUUGCAUAGUUAUUACUUAAAAUGAACUUUAACGAAAAGUUUCCAGUACUGUUUAUUUUAACGAAAAAUCAUAUUUUAACAUUAAAAAGUUCAUCCUGGUACUAUUCAUUUUACUCUUUAUUUUGCUUUUAUCAUUAAAACUCAAAAUUUUCAAACCAUUUUCAUUAAUUUUCUUUUAUUUAAAAGGUUAAAAUAUAUAAUAAUACCUGAUAAAAUUAGAAAAUUGUUGAUGUGACACUUGAAGUAUAUGUAAGUUUCCCACAUAACAAACUUAUACCCAUGACUUCUUUUCUUGUUCUGUUUUUCCAUUUCUUAUUUUGUAGAAUGCCCAAGCUGGUUCCCAAAAACCUAUUUCAGUAUUUUAAUUGUAUUGUAGAAAACUGACGUAGGUUCGAACCCUAUUUGGGGAGUUUGGUUUCAUUCCAAGUUCUGAUUUAAGAGAACUCGGGACGGAGGGGAUCACUUUGAUUGUUAAGAGUAGAAAACCCAUUCUUUUAUGAUACUUAAAUUACCAAUUACUGCUCUAAAUUGUCUUAACAAAAACAAAAUUGAUUGAAGAAGAUAUAAUUAGGUACAAGAUUGAAAUUACACAUCAACUGCUUGAAUUAUCAAGCCCCAAAUCCUGCUGUAUAUUUGACACCAGUAGGGGGUAACCACAGGUUGCCUUCAAUAAAUUGGGCCACAGAAUAGUUCUUUACCUGAGUAGACUCAUUAAAGACUCGGUAGCCAGGCCACUUGACCCGGCUUCCGAGGCCCGCUCCAGGCCCAUAAUUCAUGUACUCACCAUAAGACAACGUGCUCAAAGCAAAAUCCGCGUUCCAUUCAAGCCACCCCUCAGGCCUUAUGGCAUUGCUCAAGAAAGAAUGCAUUAUUACAGUUCUUGAAUAAAGCUUCCAAGGCCUACCAAGGUAAGUAAAAGUGGAGUUGACCAAGGGUAACAAGUCUGCAUCUGCAGUUAUGUUGCAGAACUGGAUUGAGAAUCCGGUCGGCUCAUUCGGGUCUUUCCGGCCUUGGGAUGUGACGCUGUUCUUCUGAUUCGGUAGGCCUUUUUUGGCUAAGAUCCGGCAGUUUUGGAACACAACAGUUGCAUCACCAAAAAUGAAGUCAACUGUACCACUUAUUUUGCAAUAUUUAUAUAUUUCUUCUUUCAUAAUAUUUUGCAUGUUAUUAAUGAAUAUGUUAGCAAUAUUAUCGAUCCCAUUAAUAUUAUCACCCCACUUGCACGUUGGCUUAAUAAAUAUUAUCUCAUAAGUUUCUUUCUGAUGUAGUUUACUAAUUAAGUUUAACGACCAAUGUGAUCAAUGCCUUUGUAUCAUCGUUUUCAGUUCAGUUCCAUACAUAUAAUUGUCAGUCAUAAACUUGACUUGUGUUAAAUCCUACGUCUUAAAUUCUUUUUUUUUUUUUAGCUAACAGGAAAAUAAGAGGCCUAGAAUAAGAUCUUGGUCGUUGUUUAUCUCAUUUCUUAUGAAAAGUAGAGUUGACAUAUAAGGAUUCUGCUUUUCUAUUAUGUGUCAUUGAGUGAUACAAGUUGUGGACGACCUGAAUUAAACCAACCUCUUAAAUUAAACCAAACCCGAUAUAUAGGUUAACUACUUAAAUUUUAACUAUUAAGAAUUGUAUGUAUUAGUAUAUAUGUGAAAUCUCAUCAUCGGAAUUUCACCAUUUAUUACGUAUUUAGUAAUUUAAAUUCGUAUUUUGCGAUUACAUUAUCUUUAUUAGUUAAUUUUAAUUCCACUAAUUAUAAGUUUAGUAAUUGAUUAGUUAUCGAGUUGGAAGUUUCAUAAUCAAUCUUUAUUUUUCGUGGACAUUUCGAAGUUACAACUAGUGUUUUUAAAUAGAUCUUGAACCCACAAACGUAUAAGCGAAAACCGUUUGCGAGUCUGAAUUAUAACGGUAUAGUUACGAACGUUUGAAGUGAUGAAAAUAUAGAUUGUGGGAAUUAUUCUAAUUUCCACUUAUGAGUAAAAGGCCCAAACUUUUUUUUUUGGAUUAAUGAACCGGCUACUAUAAGUGGAAUUGGGCAUUUUAGGUGGUGGAAAAAGAUUAGUCAGCAGCCUUAAAAGGGGACACAUCAGAUUUUUUUAAAGGAGGAGAAAGGACCCUAGGAAGGAAGGACCUAAGAGGAAAAAGAGGAUUUUCCCCCUCCAUUUCCGUCGACCCAUUUUCACGCACCCACCGGAGUGGUUUCCGACCAUUUCCACCAUUUUUUUCAAGAGAAAUUCAACCAUCCAUCACUUGCAACCUCUUCCACCAUCUCCCAUCUUUCAUCUCCACCCAAAUUUGAGGGUUUUUAGGUCCAAAAUAGUGUAAAACAGUGCGGGUGACCCAAGGAGUUUUGACGGCGAUUCCGCCAUUCUAGCUAGUCUCACCACCAAACACCACCCUUAAUCAACUCUCCUUGGACCCAGAACAAGACCCAAUCAGUUGUAGGAGUGUUAGAACACCAAGGAAGCCGAAUUGAAGAACACCCACCUUAGGGUUUCGUUGGGUGUGAGCCAAUUGGAAGGCCUUCCUGGCCAAAUUGGACUCGACCACAGGUAUAAAGUUUACUCUACUUGUUAAAAUCUUCAUUCUUGUAAAAUUUGAGAAUUUUUGGAAAAAGUCGAAUUUUCCGAUAUGUGACAUUCGAUUUAUGAAAAUGUUGUUGAUUGUAUAUUUUAUCGAUAAGGUGUGCCACUUGAUUAUUCUAAUAAUUGACAAUCUUAUCAUCGAAUUGAGACAAGAUUUUAAUAUGCUAUUGUAGAUAUUGUUUAAGGACCUUAGGGACUUAUAAGUGAGAAUCUAGUGAUUGGAUUUUAUGAAGCAAAUGACGUAAGAUCAUGCACUCUAUAUUAGAAUGACGGUUCGAUUCCUCAUUAAAUGUUGUUGUGGGAAACAUAUGAGAAUUUUUAAGUAUGUGAAUUAUCGAAGGAAAUCUAAAUGUGGACUUGUGCUUUGUUAGGCGGUGAUAGAACGUGAUGCCUUAACUAUCGUGCUAGGGUACAUUAGCACGGACUCCAGAUGAGUGACUUUAAUAUAUGUGAUAUUGGUAAUUACCAGUUGUCAUAAUUACGAUCAUGUGUCGAUAUGAAUUGGUUUUAUGAAUAUGUUCUAUUGAAUUGUUAUUCCAAUACUUCGACAUCAAUGUUGAGAUUAAUGUGAGGACUAGUAAUGACUGUUAACCAUUAUGUUGGGGAUUUGUUGCUUUGAGAUUGUUUCAUCUUUCGCUUUGAUGAUUGGUUAUAAAUUUAGUAAUUGUGCCUAAUCUCCCUUUGUUGAGUUUUUGUAAAUUAAGUAGUAUGUGCUUGUCUCAUUUCUUUUACCGCCGUACAUUCUGAUUGUUGGUCUUCUGCGAUUCCGUUGAGUGAUGGUCCGGAAUCAUAUCCACUCGGAUUUCGUAGAGAGAUGGUCCGGAAUCCCUUCUAUUCCGCGAUUCCGUUAAGUGAUGUUCCGGAAUCGUAUCUAAAUUGGGUUUCAUUUAGUUGUUGUUACAUAUUGUAUUUAGCGAUUCCGUUGAGUGAGGGUCCGGAAUCGUAUCCACUUGGAUUCCGUUGAGAGAUGGUCCGGAAUCCCUCCUAUUUCACGAUUUCGUUGAAUGGUGGUCCGGGAUCGUACUCACCUUGGGAUUUAUUGAAUUUGAAUUGUGAUGACUUCAAAGGUGUAGGCUUCGGCCAAACUGUAUCGCUCUAAUUCUACUUUUCAUUGUGUUGCAUGAGAAGAUGGUUGUGAGAUGUUAUGAUUGGUUUCAGACGAACCGUUGGAUGUCUGGGUGACUCCUUCGGGGUUUACAAAAGUUGGUAUUGAUUUCUUAUGAAUGAUUUAUAUUCAAGAUGUGUAAAUUGUGUUUGAUGGUUGGCAUUAGCAUUAUUAUCACAUACUUGAUAUUAUUGUCACUCUCUUAAGCUUCGCAACUUAUCCAGGUUGUUGUUUGCCUGGUGUACCAUUCCAAUGGUGUAGGCACCGAUCGUACAGGUGAUAGGUUUGAUUAGAUUCCAAGAAGUUUGUAGGUGGGGGUAGCAGUGCAGUGAUCAGAGACUUGGAGCGUUAGGUUACCCUUGUUUCACUUUUGUACUUUAUCUUUUGGGACUUUCUUUUGAGCACCUCAUACUUGUUCUUAGUAAAGCAAAGAUUAUGCUUCUUUUUGGGAUGUACAUAUUUGUAAAUAUUUAGUGGAGAACUUAGCCACCUUCACAUUAUUUUGGGUUAUCAGUUAAAGUAUUUCAUUCCGUAACUUAUGCUGUAUUCAACGAACAUUAUUUUCCUUGUCACGUGUCGAUUUUCGACGUAUGUUGAGAUCGGGAUGUGACAAUAUAUGCACAUACUAGUUUUAUCAUGUCUCUAUAAUUGAAUUUGGGACCAAAAAGAUGGUGAAGGGCUAUUCAUACGGUCUGGCAAAGAGAUUUCAUGCACAAUGUAGGCAACCAUGUUCCUUACAACUUUCAUGUGCAAUAAACUGUUGGAUUCAUCUUUUCAACAUAAUCUAUAGCUCCUUCUUUUUCUUAAAAUAGGCUAAUAAAUUUAUGGAAGAGGAACAAUGGUGGUAGGGUGGGGACCACAGCACAGCUGAGUUGCUAAAUUAAUCGACAUUGGGAUCAUUUGAAUGUUUUUAGAGUAAAUCUUUGCUUUCUCUUUUGUUUGACCGUCCUUGGGGUGGAAUUGUAAUGCCUUUCAAGUAGGGGUGGGCAAACGGGUACAGGAACCGCGGGUCGGGGCGAGUAAUGGCAGUUUGGGACGGGUACGGACCGGUUCUUAAUUUCGUAAAAACAGAUCGGGCCGGGUAAUUGAAGUAUUCGAUUCGGGCCGGUUCCAAAAGUGUAGGAACCGUGGGUACCCGGACCGACCCGUGUGUGUUACAAUGGAUGGACGAGAUUUAAGAUACAUCUCUCCAUCCAAUCUCAACUGUCAAUUUCAACCUAGCUAAUUCCACGUCUCGAGUUCAAGAAGCACCCUCCUUUCAGACUUCAGUCUCUCAGAUUCUCAGACUCUCCCUCGACUCCCUCUCCCUAUCCCUUCCUUCCCUCGACUUCAAUUCUCAUACUCUCUCAGUCUCACUCACAAACUUACUCCCACAGUGCUCACCGCCGUCGGGACCAACACAACAGCACCAUCAACUCCGCCGUCGCGACCACUAUUACUCACCCUAUCACCACCGUCGAGCUCCAACUCUCAGACUCUCACAGCGCUGUCGCAACCAACACAACGGCACCACCUCUGCCGUCGCGACCACCAUCAUCACCCCAUCACCACCGCCGUCACGACCACCUGCUACUACUAAAUUUUAGGUAAUUUUGAAUUAGGUUUUAUUAUUAAUGUGAAUUUCUGGUGUAGGGAUUUUAGGGAUUUUAGGGAUUUGCCGAAGCAAGAAGAGGUUGCUGUGGAACAGGAAUCGUAGAGAGAGACAACAUCACUGCUGUGCAAUCCAAACUCAGUCGGAACUUGUUCCAACGCGACUCAAUACGUGUUUUGGGAUAACGUCCAUCAAUCUCAAGCCACUAACUAACCAUUGGAUAAGAGGAUUAUACGGAUCUUUCUGUAUCUCAAAAAAUGUUUAAAGACUGCUACUACUUGCUUUUAAAUACUGCUAUGUUCCGAUUGAUUUAGCUAAACAAUUUUAACGGAAGAGAUUUUAUACAAAACCAAUUAGAUUUAGCUAAACAUUUAGCAAAUCUUUUGCAGUGUUUUGCAAAUUUACCAAAAGACAGCACCAAAAUGCUUUGGUUAGGCGAAGCUACUUAUGGGUAUUUAGUUUGGUUUUGGCAGUGUUCAUCAUACGGUUUUUUAUUUACCCUUCUUUUGUUCUUUUAUGUAUGAAGAUGAUCUGUUUAUAAUUAUAACACAAGGAUCGUACUUAAGAAGUUAAAUUAUGUUUUCCUUUUUGUCUUAACUGAUUUUGUUUUCCCUUUUUUUCCUUGUAGGUACUCCAUGGACUGAAGAGGAACAUACCAACUACAUAGCUUGGUAAAGGUGAGUGGCUGACGAUAUAGGUGCCAGCAUUGGUCUUCUUUAAAUUAAAAAUAAGUGAUUUAGUUUUGACAUACAUUCACCAUGGGGAAAAACACAAGAAAUGUUAUCUCUUUUUUCCUUUUUUCUUCCAUGAAAUAGAUUGGUAUCUGGCUGUCGUGUCUGUAGACUCUGUAUUGCUGUUUUCAGAUUGCAUUUCUAAGUCUUUAGCUAUUUGCAUUUUCUAAGGCUCUUGGUGGUUUUAACAAAGUUGCCAAGUUAUAUUUGUUAUUCAUGGUUUUGGUUAAUUCCAUAUGUCACUGAUCCUCUCGUAUAUUGUCUUUAAAAUUUGUAUAUGUCAUAGUGUGGGAAGUUGAGAGUUCCAGUCACCUUGUUAGAUCCCUGUUAGUACAAAAAAUAAACCUUUGAAGUAAACAACUAUCUAUUCAACUUCACUAAUCUAAAUAGUUCUCUCAUUGUAACACUUUAUUGGAUGUGCUCCUAGAUUCCGUCAUCAGCAUUCAUCUGUUUUUGGAUUUACAGGAUGCACUAGCUUACCCAAGUCAUUGCACUUCAUGUUAUGUUAAUGAUGUGUUAUUCACAAAUUUGAAUCCUUAUGAAAACCUGUCAGAUAAUUUGACAUUUUUUCACUGUUUCUAAUAAAAUCUGUUUAUGUUAUGCAGGACACUCUGUGUGCAGUUUUUUCAAACUGCAAUUUAUGCAAUAUGUGCAAUCUGUGCAGCAAACAUUUUUAAACAGCAAAAAAAAAAAAGAUCCGUGUACUCGGACCGAACCAACCCGUUUCAACCGGGCCGGGUAAGGUCCGGUUCCUAUUUUCAGAAUUGUAAUGCCCGGCCCGGCCCAUCCUAUCUCCUUUAAUUUAGGGUCCGGUCCAAUCCCUUCAAAAAUUGGCCCGCCCGGCCCGUGCCCAGCCCUACUCUCAAGUUAAGAAGUCAUCAAGCUGAAAUUUCUGUGCAUUCUACUAUUCCUUUCCUCUCUCAUCUCUUUUUUUUUUAGGUAACAAGAAAAUAUAAGGUCUUGGUUGUUGUUUAUCUUAUUUCUUAUGAGAAAUAGAGGGGAUCUAUAAAGAAUUCUAUUUUCCUACUACGUAUUAUUGAAUAAUACGAGUUGUGGAAGGCCUAAAUUAAACCAAUCUCUUGCAUAAUAUUAACGGGUUAUAAUAAAAAAUGAAAAAGAGUCUGUGUCAUUAGGAAAACUUGAUAUAAGUCCAAUUUUUUUAGCCAAUAGUAGAAAUAGUCCAAUUUAUUAAAAUAAGUCCAAUUCCUUAAAUUUAACUAUUUUAUUAUCAAUAAUUAUCUUUUGAGAAAAUUAGAAUUAGAAGCCUCAUUUUAGACUUUUGUAGACUAAACAUUUAUGCUUUUUGAGUUUUUGAUUAAGCUUUUGAAACAUUUGAUUAAGAUACUUAGACUUGAACUACUUCAUAUUAAUUGAAAUUAAUUUACAUUUAAAUAUCUGCUAUAUAUUUUAAAUAAUUUCAACUAUAUUUAAGUCUAAAAAUUUAAACUUUUCAAAUCUAAAUGUACAUCCACGCCAAAUGGAAACAUACCAAUAUUAAAUGAAAAUGUACCAACAUCAAACAAAAACAUAACAACCCUGAAUUAAAAUGUACCCAAUUAUAAACUAUCUUAAAAUGAAUAUUCAUCUUUUUGGAAUGUUUAAAAAUAUGUAUGAUUUAUACACAAUGCUCUAGAUAGUCUUGUUUUUUUGUAGAUAAGUUCCUGGAACAACUUUAAGUUGAUUAGAGAUAAAUCCUUAUUAUUGUAGAUAAUGCUAAAUAAUAAUGAUAAAUCAUAUAAUUUUGAAUUAACAAAAAGGUUAUUAUAUGUUGAUUAAUGACUCUUUCUAGAAAAAUAAAAUUAAUUAAAGUAAUUUAAACUUUUACAUUGUUAACGACUAUUUCUAUAAAAAAAAUUAAUUAAAGUAAUUCCUCAUUAUUAGGACAAAAAGUAAUAAAAUUUAUGUUUUGAGAACAAACAUACCAAAAAUUCAAAUGUACCAAAAACUAAAUGUACCAAAAAUUUAAAUGUACCAAGAAGCCAAAUGGAUCAAAAAUUCAAAUGUACCAAGUAACUAAAUGUACCAUUAUAAUCAAACGUACCGAUAUAAUCAAACGUACCUAACAACGAGUUUUGUUACAUUCUAUUUAAUUUACUAAAAUAAAUAUUUUAAUAAAAAAUAAUAAAAAAAUCUUAAAUCAUCAUAAUAAGAGAUGCAUAAAAAUAGGAGGAAAAAAGGGAAUGCUAACGUGAAUAGACUUCUAAUGAAAUAAAAUUAAAGUAUCAAAAUUGUAAGGAAAAUGUUUAAUCAAAUUUGCAAAAGGAAUAGAUGUUUAGUCUAUGACAUUUAAAAACGAGGUGUCUAAUUCAAAACGUCCCUUAUCUUUUCAAUGAUAAGAUUUAUUAUAAAAAUCAAAUUUAUUCCUAAUUAUCUCUUUGAUUAUUUAUUUUAUUUAUUUAUUGCUCUUUCUUGUUCUUCCUCCUGCUUUAAACUCCAUUUAUAGAUUUUAUUUUUAAUUUUUAUAAUCAACCUAUAUCAUAGGUUAAUUAUAUUUAUCUACCUAUAUGACAUAUUCUUUUUUAUAAUCAACUAAGAUUAAUGUGUCUUGCUUGUAGGUAUAUUAUGUUUUUUCUACCUUUUAGUUAGGUUUCAUAUCUUGCUUUAUAUGUAUGAUAUACAUUCAUAUAUUUGUUACUAGAGUUAGGGUAUAAUGUUUUGCAGAUGAUUUAUGUCAGUGUAUUAGUUUUUUUGUUAUAAGAUAUUAAUUAUAUUUUUUGGAGUUGGAAAAUGCAUAAUAUUAGAAUAUUUUAAUUGAUUUUUAAUAUUUUUAGAAAAUAUAAAAUGAGCAUAAAAAAUUAAAUAUAUGUAAUUAAGUAACUAAACUCACUCCUAAAAAUCAUCUAUAUUUUUUAAUCUGGAUCUAAAAGCAAAACAAUACGCACUAUGGAAGCCAAACCCGAUAUAUAGGUUAACUAUAGGGCUAGUCAUACGGCCCGGCAAAGAGAUUACAUCGGAGAUAACGAAGGAUCGUACAACAUUUGGCCUUUGGAAGUGUCGGAAUUAUUAAUUCAUUCUUGGUGAAGAAAGGCCACAGGUGAUUACAAUAUCAAUGAAUAAUAGAAUACCGACAAACCAUAGUGAGUAGAUUGCUGAUCAAACAUAAAAAAUAUAAAAUAAAAUAAAAAAGUUCUUUUUUUUGUUUUUGUCAAAAAAAAAAGAUAAAAAAAAGGUUCAACGUAUAUAACAAAACAAAUGGUAUAAGACACAUAGUUCAUUAAAUUUAAAGACCGCCACUAGUUAGUGGAGAGAAACUUAUCUACACUGAAGAUACUUCUCAUGGUAUAUCUAUUUUAUUAGUAACGAUUUUAUAUAUUUCAGUCGGCCGUGAUUAUUUUAAAAUACCAUUAGGGUGGAUUGUUACAUCGAAGGUGGUAAGUAAUAGUUUCAACGAAACUUCCUCUCCAAUAAAAUAAUCGCAUUGAUAUUGUCACAUUAAUAGGUAGGAAAAUGCUUUCGUAUGUAGGAUGAAAAGCGUGAAGCCUGAUAUAAACAAGAGAGAGUCCUUGACGAACCCAGUCUCUUCAGUUUAUUUCUGGUUUGAAUUCUCCUAUGACCAAUCAACUUGUCUCUUCUUCUUCCUUGCCUCCUUCAUGGACAUAUGAUGUGUUUUUGAGUUUUAGAGGUGAGGAUACACGCUUUACUUUUACAGAUCAUUUAUACCAGGCCCUAGACCGUAGUGGAAUCAACACCUUCAUAGAUCGCCAUCUUACAAGAGGAGAAGAAAUAUCACCAACUCUUCUCGAAGCAAUUGAAAAGUCGAGAAUUUCGAUCAUUGUAUUCUCUGAAAACUACGCAUCCUCAAGAUGGUGCUUGGAUGAGCUUGUACAUAUCCUUGAAUGUAGAAAAUCAAGGCAGCAAAUAGUUUGGCCAGUUUUUUACAAGGUGAAUCCGUCUCAUGUACGAAAUCAAACGAGUAGUUUCGGUGACAGAUUUACAGGACUUGAGCGCAAAUACAAGGACAAGGAGAAGAUCCUCUUAUGGAGUAGAGCUCUUCGAGAAGCAGCAAAUUUGUCUGGACGUACUGUCAAAGAGGGAGAGUACGUACAUUUCUUCUUUCCUUAUAGUUUGUUUAAUUAUAUGAUUCUGUAUUUCAGGUUUCACUUUCUACUACAAUAAUACCUAUUUAGUUGCAAGUUUCAUUUUUAGUUUUUAAAAUCCCUACCAAGCGGCACAUGCUUGACUGCAGCUAUUGUGUAAGAGGAGUGCUAGGAACCAAACCAUCGCUACCACUCAUUCUAUCAAUUUCCGCCUUUGUUGAAUGGUAAGUCUAUAAUUGUAUAUGAAGAAGAUAACUAUUACUUUAUGCUAAACCUACAUGACCAUCUUCUUCAUAUAUAAAUAUAGACUUGUCAUUCACCAAAGCUAGCAAACGAGGGAGUGAGUGUAAUCCUCUCUAUCUUUUUUUUUUCAAAGAAAUAUAGCAAAAAAGUGGAUUGACUAAAUAUGUCAAUAUUUUAUUUACAUGGGUAGGUACGAAGCUACAUUUAUCAAUAAGAUUGUUAAGGAGAUCUUAGUCGACGUACUACAACACACAUAUUUGAAUGUGGCCAAAUACCCAGUUGGAAUACGGUCUUGUGCAAAGGAGGUGGAGAAGAUUUUAGGUGUUGGUGCAAAUGGUCGUUGUGUGGUUGGGAUUUGGGGGACAUCUGGAAUUGGCAAGACAACAAUUGCAAAAGCUGUUUAUAAUGCAAUUGCUCUUAAGUUUCAAGGUAGUUGUUUCCUGGCAGAUGUUAGAGAAACAUCAAUACAACAUGGAGGAUUACUCCAACUACAAAAGACUCUUCUAUCUAAAAUUCUAUGCGAUACAGAGUUGAAAGUUGUUGACGUUCAUGAAGGAAUCAGCCUUAUGAAGAAACUGUUGAGGAAAAAGAAGAUUCUCUUAAUUCUUGAUGAUGUGGAUGAAUUGAAGCAGUUAAACAACUGGGUUGAAGUCGAUUGGUUUGGUGAGGGUAGCAGAGUGAUCAUAACCACAAAAGAUAGAGGAUUGCUGGAAUCUUAUGGAGUCAAGUUGAUAUACAAGGUCCAAAAGUUAGAAGACGACAAGGGUCUUGAGCUUCUAAGUUUGAAUGCCUUCGGAAGAAAAGAACCUCCAGUUGAUUAUUUGAGCCUCGCACGACAUGCAAUAGCCUAUGCUCAAGGCCUUCCAUUAGCUCUUAAUCUUAUAGGUUCUCAUUUGCGUAAUAAAAGUAUAGAUCGUUGGCAAGCUAUAUUGGAUAGUUACGAUUCUUACGAAGGAGAACCUUAUAGAGGUAUUCAAAGAAUACUUCGAAAAAGUUAUGAUGCCUGGGAUUAUGUAGUGCAACAAGUUUUCCUAGACAUUGCAUGUUUCUUCAAGGGUGAAGAUAAAGACUAUGUGUUAGAAAUAUUAAGAAGUUCGAAGCUCAACGUACCUCAAGAUUGUAUGGAAGUACUUGUUGAAAAUGCCAUUAUAACUAUUGAUAAAGAUAAUAGGAUUUUGAUGCAUGACUUGCUAGAAAAAAUGGGUAAGCAUAUAGUUUAUGAAGAAUCUCCCACUGAACCAGGAAAACGUAGUAGGUUGUGGUUUCAUGAAGAUGUGUACAAUGUUCUAACUGAAAAUCGAGUAAGUAGAAUAUAUGUUCUUACAUUUGUUUUGUCAUGAUCUGGUUUGAAGUGAAAGCUUUUUAAAUUACAUGUUUUGUUAACAAUAUGUCAUUUUUUUCAUCUUAGGGAACAAAGAAAAUUAGAGGCAUUGUGGUGAAGCUGCCUGAACCAGAUGUGAUACCCUUGAAUGCAGAAAGCUUCUUGCAGAUGGUAAAUCUUGAAAUUUUUAUAAAUCGUAAUGCACGCUUUUCUGGACACGUUGAUUAUUUGUCCAACGAUUUGAGGUGGAUUGAAUUGGACGGACGUGAUUUUCAAUAUUUGGGAUUCAAUAUUCCUCAAAAGCAUACGGUUGUGUUCAAUCUGCCGUCCAAUUAUAAUCCAAAACAUCUUGUCACGUUUGAUAUUCCAAACAGUGGCAUCAGACAAUUGAAAGGGUUUAAGGUAUGUAUAUUUAUUUUAAAGUAAUUUGGACAAUUGCUAAUUUAAAUAAUAUUUUAUUUUCGGAAAAGAGAGAAUUUUCAAAAUUUUCAUUAUAAAUGUAUUCAAAACAUGUGACUUUUUGUUUUUUUGUUUUUUUUUUUUACAGAAUUUGGCAAAGCUUACAUCAAUCAAUUUAAGUUAUUGCGAAUUCCUAGAAAAAAUCCCCGACUUCUUCGGAUGCCCAAACAUAAAGGACUUGAAUCUAAGUUUUUGUAGAAGUUUGGUUGAGGUUGAUGAUUCUGUUGGAUUCCUCGAUAAACUUGAAAAUUUGAAUCUUCGUGGGUGCUAUAAGCUUACGAGGUUUGCAACAAGACUUGAAUUGAGAUCCCUUCAAAAGUUUUCUCUUUGUGGCUGCACAAGGCUUGAGAAUUUCCCAGAAAUAGAGAAGGACAAGAUGGUAUCCCUAUCGUCUUUGGACAUAGGAGGAAGUGGCAUAAGAGAAUUGCCUUCCCCAAUUGCAUAUCUUACUGGGCUUCGAAGAUUGACAGCGCGUGGUUGUGAGAACCUUACAAAUAUAUCAGUACAUCAUAUUGUUGGGUUGCAGCAUCUCCAAGAUGUUGAUUUCGGUGAACGCCCAAAACUCGUGAUCGAAUCUCAGCUGCUUUCAACUAACUUAAAUGACAACGGUAUCAUAUUAGCCCUUCCAGAGCUAGAGUAUCUUUGUCUUGAUGGAUGCAAUUUAUCAGAAAGUGAUUUUCUUGUGCCUCUUGAUUGCUGGUCUACAUUAAGCAAUCUUGAUCUGUCAAGAAACAAUUUUGUUAGUCUUCCAGAUUGCAUUAGCAAAUUUCUCAACUUGCAUACACUUAGAUUGAGCGGGUGCAAGAGGCUUCGGGAAAUUCCACAAGUCCUUCCGCCAGAUCUAAUUUACUUAUAUCUGGAUGAUUGCACAUCAUUGGAGAAAAUUUCAAAACUACCCUGGAUGCUUGAGUGUCUUGACUUGACUAAUUGCUUUAGUCUAAGUGACGAUGAGAUGGAAAAGUUGGAAAACAAUUUGUUGAAUCAGGUUCCUCCCUCCUCUUAAUUUCUCUUGAAAUUUAGAAUUAUAUUUUGUUGAUUCUUGAGAGAGAUUAGAUCACAAUGGUUGCUAAUUAGUUAUCUACAUAUUAUUCACUAUUCCAGGAUUCCCUUCGGCGCUUUCGACUCCAAGUUUUUUAUCCAGGCAAUGAAGUUCCAAAGUGGUUCAGCUAUACUUUUAAACAUCCAAAAUUAGUAGGAGGCAGUGAAUUUAGUUUUGAAAUUCCUCUAAAUUUACAAGUGGGGGAGAAGUUAUUAGGAUUUGCUCUAUCUUUUGUUCUUGAAAAAUCGACUUAUGGUCCUAGGUUUAACUAUAUUCUCAUCAACGGAAUAGAAAAGGUUGAACCUCCUAUAACGGAUGCGAAUUUAGACGAGCAGCAGCGGUGGCGGUUGGAAGAUAUUUGUCAAGAUGCAUUCAGAAUAGAAAGUGUUGAUCGUAAUAUAAUGAGUGCGGAACCCAUAGAGGCAACUCAUGUGUGGCUUGGGUUAGUGAAUUUGGUCGAGCAGAAGCGGCAGUGGCUGGGAGAUACUUGUCAAGUUAUAUUCUAUUUCAGUGAAAGCGUAUGCAUUAAAAGCUGCGGGGUGCACCUCCUAGCCUCACAUAUCGUGGAUGAUGAAUGUGAUGAUCUGUUAAAAUGGUUUUCCUCAGAUAUCGUUGAUGAUGAAUACGAUGAG
rnacentral:lncRNA from 1 species